UACGUAGGGCGCAAGCGUUGUCCGGAAUUAUUGGGCGUAAAGAGCUCGUAGGUGGCUUGUCGCGUCUGCCGUGAAAGCCCAUGGCUUAACUGUGGGUCUGCGGUGGAUACGGGCUGGCUAGAGGUAGGUAGGGGCAAGCGGAAUUCCUGGUGUAGCGGUGAAAUGCGCAGAUAUCAGGAAGAACACGCGUGGCUAAGGCGGCUCUCUAGUACGGUACUGACGCUGAGACGCGAAAGCGUGGGGAGCGAACAGG
rnacentral:rRNA from 1 species